UACGUAGGGUGCAAGCGUUAUCCGGAUUUAUUGGGCGUAAAGGGCUCGUAGGCGGUUCGUCGCGUCUGGUGUGAAAGUCCAUCGCUUAACGGUGGAUCUGCGCCGGGUACGGGCGGGCUGGAGUGCGGCAGGGGAGACUGGAAUUCCCGGUGUAACGGUGGAAUGUGUAGAUAUCGGGAAGAACACCAAUGGCGAAGGCAGGUCUCUGGGCCGUUACUGACGCUGAGGAGCGAAAGCGUGGGGAGCGAACAGG
rnacentral:rRNA from 1 species